UUUUAAGUAUAAGUAUGUCCCAUGUAAUGUUUGGGACAUACUUGUACUAAAA
rfam:Mustela putorius furo unplaced genomic scaffold scaffold00039, whole genome shotgun sequence.